rnacentral:rRNA from 1 species
ACUCCUACGGGAGGCAGCAGUGGGGAAUUUUGGACAAUGGGCGAAAGCCUGAUCCAGCAAUGCCGCGUGUGUGAAGAAGGCCUUCGGGUUGUAAAGCACUUUUGUCCGGAAAGAAAUCCUUGGCUCUAAUACAGUCGAGGGAUGACGGUACCGGAAGAAUAAGCACCGGCUAACUACGUGCCAGCAGCCGCGGUAAUACGUAGGGUGCGAGCGUUAAUCGGAAUUACUGGGCGUAAAGCGUGCGCAGGCGGUUUGCUAAGACCGAUGUGAAAUCCCCGGGCUCAACCUGGGAACUGCAUUGGUGACUGGCAGGCUAGGGUAUGGCAGAGGGGGGUAGAAUUCCACGUGUAGCAGUGAAAUGCGUAGAGAUGUGGAGGAAUACCGAUGGCGAAGGCAGCCCCCUGGGCCAAUACUGACGCUCAUGCACGAAAGCGUGGGGAGCAAACAGGAUUAGAAACCCUAGUAGUCCC